GGGAGGUGUUCCACGUCAAAGUGCAAAUUUGAAGACGCCCAUUUAUUUGUGCCCCGGCU
rnacentral:tRNA from 1 species